rnacentral:lncRNA from 1 species
AAGCAGGCCGGGGUUUAGGGGGCUCAGAAUGAAGAGGUCUGAUUUGGCCAGCGCCGGCAAAGCUCACCCUUAGGCGAGGUCACAACAGAGGCAGGUCCUUCCUGCCCAGCCUGCCGGUGUAGUCACAGCCAAGGGUGGCACUUGAAAGGAAAAGGGAGAAAACUUCGGAGAAAUUUAGAUUGCCCCAACGUUAGAUUUCAGAGAAAUUGACUCCAAAUGCACGGAUUCGUUCGGAAAGGGCGGCUAAGUGGCAGGUGGUUGCAACCCCGCCCGGUCGGGCCUUCGCAGAGGUUCCCCAAGACCAGCCCUUGCAGGGCGGUUUUCAGCAACCUGACAAGAGGCGGCCAAGACAAAUUUCUGCGGGUUCGAGCACACACUCUCGGGCGUUGGGCCCCAGAGACCUCUAAACCAAGCACAAACAAGAAGGGAGUGAGAGAACCCAGGCUAGAACUUGCACGGGCAUCCCACUGAGGAAAAGCGAGGCCUCGGUGGCAGGCAUGUUUUCUUCCGACGCCCGAAAAUCGAGCCGAGCGCCCGACUACAUUUACUGCAGAGGUUUCCGCCUCCAGUGAGCCCGGAUCCCCCAGCGGCCUGCCCGGAGCUGGUCUCCAGUCCCCGCCGUAGUCCGACGCACGGCCCUCUCCUGGCAGCAAGCUCCCAGCGGCCAGUCUGAAGCCAAUUCUGUUCAGGCGGCCGAGGGCCCUUAGCCAACCCACCAUGAUGUCGCCUGGGCCACCUGAUGCCCGCAGCGGCGGGACACGGCCCGGGCAGUGCGCAGUGGCUCCUGCUAGGGGCACCGCGUGCGUGCUUGUCUCCCGCUGCGCCGGGGACGUCCUUGGGUGACACGGGCCGCUGGGCACCUCCCAAGCCGAGGAAACGGACCCCCUUCGCAGAGUCUCGCGCCCACCCCCCAACCUCCCACCUCGUUUCUCGCUGCUAGGGCUCCCGACUCAGCCCACCUCUCCUGGCGGUUUAGUUAGGGAUCAGAGCUGGAGAGGCUGAACGCAACCCGUGCCAGUACGGAACAGACGAUAUGUUUGCCUGCUAGCUGCUUGGAUGAAUAAUUGAAAAGUUCGCUGCAGUCUGUGCUUCGUCAAGUCCC